AUCGCUUCUCGGCCUUUUGGCUCAGAUCAAGUGUAGUAUCUGUUCUUAUCAGUUUAAUAUCUGAUACGUCCCCCAUCGGGGGACUACAUAUUAAAUUGAUUUUUCGAACAGGGAGUCGGAAAUGGGGCUUGCUCCGUCCGCUCCACGCAUCGACCCGGUAUUGCAGUACCUCCGGGAACGGUGCAACACUU
rnacentral:snRNA from 13 species